UUGUCCUGUGACUGCGUACCUUUUGUAUAAUGGGUCAGCGACUUAUAUUCAGUGGCAAGGUUAACCAUCUAGGGGAGCCGUAGGGAAACCGAGUCUUAACUGGGCGUUCAGUCUCUGGAUAUAGACCCGAAACCAGGUGAUCUAGCCAUGGGCAGGUUGAAGGUUGAGUAACAUCAACUGGAGGACCGAACCGACUAAUGUUGAAAAAUUAGCGGAUGACUUGUGGCUAGGGGUGAAAGGCCAAUCAAACCUGGAGAUAGCUGGUUCUCCCCGAAAGCUAUUUAGGUAGCGCCUCGGACGAAUACUACUGGGGGUAGAGCACUGUUAAGGCUAGGGGGUCAUCCCGACUUACCAACCCUUUGCAAACUCCGAAUACCAGUAAGUACUAUCCGGGAGACACACGGCGGGUGCUAACGUCCGUCGUGGAGAGGGAAACAACCCAGACCGCCAGCUAAGGUCCCAAAUUACUACUAAGUGGGAAACGAUGUGGGAAGGCUCAGACAGCCAGGAUGUUGGCUUAGAAGCAGCCAUCAUU
rnacentral:rRNA from 1 species